AACGAAUGCAGAGUAUAUUCAAGUUGCCAACACACUGGUUGUGAAGUACCCUUUCCAGAGAAAUAUAGAAGGAAAUGACUUGAGAAACUUGUGUUGGGGAGGAUUCAGUGUCUGUUGAGGCCCAUGUGAAUGUGCUACAAAGUGAGUAUCAGAAAACACAUCCAGACCCCUCGACUGUCAAAGACCACAAGGCAGGAACAUUCUCCUGGAGACGUUGAGAAAGCACGGAAGGAAUGUCUGUGGAGGAUGUACUCAAAAAAUAUCCAUACUUAAGGACACCUGCUGGAAUGAAUAUAGUACAAAAAAAUCAUCAACGUUUUUAUGUAUGGGGACCCUGCUACACUCUUUCCUACCAUACAACUGAUGGAUACUGACUGUAAAAUGGCAAUCAUAGGAGCAGGGCUCAGUGUGGUGACAGAAG
ensembl:lncRNA